UGUAAACAAGUAAUGGGCCUAAUCAUGCCAGAUGACAGUUUUCCAAAAUUAAUUAUAUCCCCUCGAAUGCCUUAAUGCUUGCCCAAGGUAUGCUAGCGGAAUAUGAAUGGAUGCUCCUGUCAUUAAAUCAAGGGGGAGUGGAGGAACUGCUGGGAUUCAUUCUUUUUCUCAACAAGAUGCAUGAUUAAGUUAUCCAGUCGAGCUGUUUUGUUACGGUUGUUAUUAUCUCCCCUUCUAGUGUGUUGUCGCCUUCCGGUUUGUCGCAACUUUUACCCCCACCUGCACCGCUACCCGGCCCUCCUGUGGUCGGGGGGUUAUGCUGUGUUGACUUCAGCCUAACGUGUGGUUGGUGAAAAAAAUCGAGAUCAUUUUCUUGUUGGGCUCCCCUAAGCUCCUACCCUAGAUGAUUUCAGCUCAUCCUAUUAACACCUUCCAUUCAGCUAUUUCCCUGUAGCACGCACACCGAGGAAUACAACUUUUGAUGAGAACUCGCCAUGCAAGACACGGAACUGCUGCACUAGAGAGGGAGCAUGAUGUUUGUUUAUUUGGUGUCGUCCUUCAUUUUACAUUACCUUGCUUUAGUGUGCUACUUUUUUUUCACAGAGAAUGCAGCAUGUCUUUAGGAUGGCCCUGCCAUGAAAUCCGGGCUGCUGGCUCACAGAUGUAGAGCUGCCAGCUGAGGUGGACAUUCAUCAGUUGGUUGAACAAUGGCAGUUCGGCAGUGAACAGAACAUAGAUUCAGAAGGAAUUGCCUCAUGCCAGGGGGGAAGCCUUUUGACGUCGGAGGGGAACGACAGGCGCCAUGAUGUAUUGUUAUUUUGUUAAGGUUAAAGGCAAAUCAUGCCA
ensembl:lncRNA